UACGUAGGGUGCAAGCGUUGUCCGGAAUUAUUGGGCGUAAAGAGCUCGUAGGCGGUUUGUUGCGUCGGCUGUGAAAUCCCGAGGCUCAACCUCGGGUCUGCAGUCGAUACGAGCAAACUAGAGUGUUGCAGGGGAGACUGGAAUUCCUGGUGUAGCGGUGAAAUGCGCAGAUAUCAGGAGGAACACCGGUGGCGAAGGAGGGUCUCUGGGCAACAACUGACGCUGAGGAGCGAAAGCGUGGGGAGCGAACAGG
rnacentral:rRNA from 1 species